CUCCACACCGUUCCUGAGCAAUUCUGGGGAAAAGAAGGUGGAAAGGCAAAGGAAAAGUCAGGAAAGGUUGAGUGACUCGG
rnacentral:lncRNA from 1 species